UCUUAGUUCGGAUUGUAGGCUGCAACCCGCCUACAUGAAGUCGGAAUUGCUAGUAAUCGCGGAUCAGCAUGCCGCGGUGAAUACGUUCCCGGGCCUUGUACACACCGCCCGUCACACCAUGGGAGUUGGUAACACCCGAAGUCAGUAGCCUAACCGCAAGGAGGGCGCUGCCAAAGGUGGGAUCGAUGACUGGGGGUGAAGUCGUAACAAGGUAAC
rnacentral:rRNA from 1 species